GCCACUGCGGCUGCGCGGCUCCCCUGGCGCGGCAGAGGCGCGCGCCUGCGCUGUGAGGAUCCCGCCCUCGAGCCGCCUGGAGCCUCCUGGAGGGACUGGGCGGCCCUGACGAGGCGCGGGCGUUUGGGGUACAUGCGAGCCUCACGACGCCCGCGACUGGGGACAGGGAAUCUGGGCCGGGCUGGAACCAGGCCCGCGCGGGAGGGCGCGCUGGGCGGACGCUGGUGUCGCAGGGACCACCCGCCCUAGUCCCGGAGGCCCCUUCGCGUUCCACACAGGAUAAAGAACAUCAGGAUGUGAGAGCCAAGUGCAUGUCCACGGAGUGCUUGAGCCACGCGGAAUGGCGUUUCAGUGCUGGGUUCCGUAGACGCUGUGCAGACCCUGCUGAGUCUUCAGCACCUGUGAGAGAUGAGGAUUCAGUUUCAUUCUCCUAUAUCUGGCUUGCGAAUUAUCCCAGCACCAUCUGUAUUAAACCCACAACCAACGUCAUAUGGAAUGGGGAAAAGUUGAAAGCAUUCCCCAUGAGAUCUGGAACAAGACAAGGAUGCCCACUUUCACUAUUUCUAUUCAACAUAGAACAAUCAGACAACAGAAAGAAAUAAAGGACAUCCAAAUUAGUAAAGAGGAAGUUAAACUGUUGUUGUUUGCUGAUGAUAUAUUUGUAUACCUAGAAAACCCUAAAGACUUAUCCAAAAGGCUCAUAGAGCUAAUAAAUGAAUUCAGCAAAGUUUCAGGUUACAAAAUUAAUACAUGAAUAA